AUCACUUUUCCACCUUUUGGCUAAGGUCAAGUGUAG
rnacentral:snRNA from 1 species